GAUCGACUGAUUGGCGAUGGUCAGAAAACGAUGAACUUGCAAAUACAGAUUCAGUUAAAAAAAAAGAACCUGAUGAUUUUCGCAGGUUUGACGAGGCGUUUAAAAGCAUGAGGAUGGGUCCCUUGAGGGACGUUUAUUAUAUUCCUGAUUUCAUUGAUCCAUCUGAAGAAGAUUUGCUUUGGGAUAAGAUUUACGAGCAACCGCCGGACAGGUGGACUCAACUUAGGCGCAGAAAAGUUCAGUGUUGGGAUGCUAUGGUAGAACCUUUCCCGGAAUGGCUAAGGGAUUUAACUGAGCUCUUUUCAGUUGGCGAAAAAGUUCAUCCUUUCGGUGCUGUGUUCGCUGAGAGGCCCAAUCACGUUUUGAUUAAUGAAUACGUAGGCGCAGAAGGGAUAUUUGCGCACAAGGAUGGUCCUGCUUAUUAUCCCCGAAUAGCUAUUUUAAGUUUAAAGGGGUCUACUUUGAUAGAGUUUCGCGAAUCAUUGAGACCUACGGAAUCCGAAGAUCCAGUUCAGUUUAUUUUGCAGCCAAGAUCGCUGUUGAUUUUCGUACGAGAUGCAUUUUAUAAGUUUUAUCACGAAAUUCCAGAGAUUUAUACCUACAGAGUUGGUCCUCACGUGGCAAACAAGGACAUAGUGGGUAUUCCAGAGGGAACUGAGUGCAUUCGAAGUCACCGGGUAUCAAUAACGCUAAGAAUUCUUCUCACAAAAAAAUAAAAUUUUGUGCGAUUUUAAUCAUUUUUGGCACCAA